rnacentral:rRNA from 1 species
UACGUAGGGGGCAAGCGUUGUCCGGAAUCAUUGGGCGUAAAGAGCGUGUAGGCGGCCAGAAAAGUCCGCUGUGAAAACUCGAGGCUCAACUUCGAGCUGUCGGUGGAAACUUUCUGGCUAGAGUCCGGAAGAGGAGAAUGGAAUUCCUGGUGUAGCGGUGAAAUGCGUAGAUAUCUGGAGGAACACCGGUGGCGAAGGCGCAUCCUGGACCGGCAUUGACGCUGAGGAGCGAAAGCCAGGGGAGCAAACGGG